GUAGGUGGCAAGCGUUGUCCGGAAUUAUUGGGCGUAAAGCGCGCGCAGGCGGUCCUUUAAGUCUGAUGUGAAAGCCCACGGCUCAACCGUGGAGGGUCAUUGGAAACUGGGGGACUUGAGUACAGAAGAGGAAAGCGGAAUUCCAAGUGUAGCGGUGGAAUGCGUAGAGAUUUGGAGGAACACCAGUGGCGAAGGCGGCUUUCUGGUCUGUAACUGACGCUGAGGCGCGAAAGCGUGGGGAGCAAACAGGGAUUAGAUACCCUGGUAGUCCACGCCGUAAACGAUGAGUGCUAAGUGUUAGGGGGUUUCCGCCCCCUUAGUGCUGCAGCUAACGCAUUAAGCACUCCGCCUGGGGAGUACGGCCGCAAGGCUG
rnacentral:rRNA from 1 species